CGCACCGCCGGGUAUCGUGCGCCUGCGCGGAGAUCGGGGUGUUGGAGUAGCAGCAGACAGCAGACGGCACUUGUGGUUGGGGCUGGUUGCUUUGUUUCCGGGCCUCUUUGCCCUACGCUUGGGGGGCCAGCUCGGUGUCCCUCAGCGCCUUGCCUUCACCUCAGCUGUCUGCUUUUCGAGCGGCUCGAAGAGCAGGCUAAACCUCACAUCAAGCUGACUUCUGAAGAUAUGUUGGCACCUAUGCACAAGCUCCCUAUACUGAACUCAUGAAACAAACCAGAACUAUCUAAGUCAGGGGAUUCCAAUCAACUGGUCAAGUUUAAGAGAUGGACCUGACAGGGUACUAGAUAUAUGAGUAGCUCCACGAACACUUGCUGAGAAAAUAAGUGAAUGGCUAGACAAGUGAGGUCGUUACCUAACCUGUCAUAAAUUAUACUGGAAUCCCCAUUUUCCAGGAGAAGAAAAAAUGCCCAAGACUGAUGUUUCUGAGGAUUAAACACCUAGAUAGGGUGACAGUACCCUGACAUAUUCAAAUUCUAGAAGCAAGCUGCUCCCUAUUACCCUCACCCUCCUCAAGAAGCUGAUCCAUCCGUACUUCAAAUGAAGAAGUAAUUACCAAGUAACUGUCAGGGGCCGUGGAGGAGGCUAGGAAUACAGACAUCUACUACCUUCAGGGAUUGGAAUUCACAGUCUAUAGGAGCAUAAACAUACAAGUCCCAAACUCUGACUUUACUCCCGAAACCUGCUUCAGCCUCAGUCUUCCUCACCUCAACAGAGAUAACCUCAUCCUCCUCCCAGCUGCUCAAGGCUGAAAUAGGAAAAUCAUCCUUAUUCCUCUCCUGCCCUAUUCCCUGGUUCCUGUUCAUUCUGCCUCUGAAAAGUAUCUGAAAUCAUCUUGCUUCUGUCACCACUGCCACCCUCCUUGCCCAAACUGGGACCACUGCAACAGCCUCCGACUGGUCCCGUCUUCUGCUUUUCAUCCCCUGCAAUCCACACAGCAGGUAGGGUGACUUGUGAAAAUAUAAACAGAAUGCCUCUGCUGCUUAAAACUCUCCAGUGACUUCCCAUUUCCCAUAGAAUAAAAUAUAAACUCCUUGCCCUCACCCCAGUAGAUCAGCAGGACUUGGCCCCUGCCUCACUCUCCCAGCUAUCUAAUACCACGCUUCUUCUGGCUGGUCAUGCUUCCCUCACACUGGCUUUUCUCCCCUCCUCUCCCACCAAAGCCAUCACCGCACAAGCACAGACUGUGGCAUUGCUCUCCCUCCAUCUGCCAGCCCCCCAAUCCCAACCUAACUAUGGCUGAUGCUCGGGUCUCAGAUGUCACUUCCUCAUCCAGGCACUCCCCCAACCCACACUGUCUGAGGACCCUGUUCUUUACCCCUGGCUCUUAUUUCAUUUAUAAAUUGUCACUUCCUUGUCUUUUCCCCUUAGACUAUUAUCGAAGACCAUACUUAUUUUGUUCACAAUUAUAUACCUAGUGCCUAGCACAUAGUAGGCGCUCUAUUUGCCGAAUGGAUGAAGGAAUGGUUGAAGGAACACACAAGUAACCACAACACAAGGCAUCCUGCGUUGAAAGAGGGCGGAGCUCAACAGAAGUAGAAGGGGAACCCUGGUAGAGGGGAUAAAAUUAAAACUAGGCCUGGAAAUUAAAGAAACAAACAAACUCUUUUGCAGUAUUCGAUUCACACAAGGUAAUUUAGAGAACACUUAUGCAGGUAAUGAAGCAUAUUGAAAAUAAACACUAAUAAAGUUACUGCACUAAUGAAAAUAUUAUGAAUACUGCUGUAGACACAUCCUUUAGUAAAAAUAUAAACACAGUCUAGAAGAUAUUUCCAACACACACACACACAAAAAUUUAUAUCCAGAGAUGUGAAAAGUUCCUUUGAGUCAGUAAGAAAAAUACAAAUAACCAGAUAGAAAAAUAAGGGCAUAAAUAGCAUUUCCCAAUAAGAAACUGAAAUGACCAAAAAAUACAGGAAGAGGUGCUUAACCUCUCUAGCAACCAGGAAAUGAAAGAAAUAAAGACCACGGGGAGAUACUUUUUUGCAUCGAUGAGACUGGCAAAAAAUUAAUGCAACAAAACCAAAUGUUGGCAAGGAUGCAGUUCUUGGAUUUUGACGAGCACAAGUGGCAAGGGAAGGGGAUCCCAGCAGAGGGUGGAAACGGGCAGGGCAUGUUUCCGGAACAUCCACGUGGUGGAGCACAGGACGUGGAAAGGAACGAUUCUGGGGAUAAAGGGAGUGACCGGGUGAAGAAGAGAGGUCACCAGGGGCAGGGAGAGAGGGGACAGGUACAGAGCUUCAGUUUGCAAUGAUCAAAUGCUAUGGAUGGAGUGUGGGAUGGUUGCACAAUAGGGAUGCACUCCACUUAACUAUACUUUUAAAACAUCUUAAAAAUGUUUAAAAUGUGAAGUUGUACGUUAUGUGUCUUACCACCACCACAACAGAAACUCUAACUUAGGACGGGACUUUGAUUAGAAAGAGAAACAAAGACAGAGGAAGGACCCACGAGGGAUGAAUGGCCAUGGGCAGAAUGGUUUCAUUCUGAAGACAACUGAGAGCCACUGGAGGAUUCGGACUGGGAGGAACAAUCAGGACUGUGCUUCAGACUUGGAGAGGAAGGCUUCCUCCUGGAAGAUUGUCCUUCCAAAUGACAUAGGCUUGAAGUCCAGUCUUUACCUGAGCACGUCUUCCUGUCUUCAUUCAAGGUGUAGCCGGCAUAACACUCGCAGUGAUAGGCCGCUGCCCCGUCGUCCACACAGAUGUGCUGGCAGCCGUGAGAGCCCAGAGCACACUUGCUGAGAACUGGCCGGGAGCGCGGCAGGAAAGAAAAUAUUCCCAAGUUACAGCAGGAAACCAAAUGCAGAUUUCUGGGUGAGAAAAGCUUCGGUAUGGAGGCAACAGAUGCUGAGGAUGAACUCUUCAGUUGUCAGCAACAAAUCUCCCACUUUUCAGGAGAAAGCCUGUUUUCUUGUUCUACAUCUCACAUGCCUCUAGCCUCGCCUUUUCCUGGCCCCCCCCUUUUCCCUUUCAUUUCUUGCAGAUAUCUAGGGGGUGCCUUCUCUUUCUUUCCUGCCUUGCUCCUGGCCAGUUCUGACUUUGAUUAUAUGGAUCAGACCUUACCUUUGGCUUUUCAUGAUGACCACGAAUGCCUCCAACAUCUCCAGCCACACGUGGAUCAUCAUCACCAUCACCAAAAAUAAUGUAUUAGAGACCCACUUGCGCAUGGAGCUAAAUUUGAUGCUGUGUUGACCAAUGGCCUGGCCUUAAGAGUGUACAAAGUGGGAAAAGGGUGCCUGGGUGGCUCAGUCAGUUAAGCGUCCAAUUCUGGGUUUCGGCUCAGGUCAUGAUCUCAUAGUUUGUGUGUUCGAGCCCCGCGACAGGCUCUGCAUGGACAGUAUGGAAUCUGCCUGCGAUUUCUCUCUCCCUCUCUCUCUCCCUCUCUCUGCCUCUCCCUGGCUUGCACUCUCUCUUUCAAAAAAUAAACAUUAAAAAAAAAAAGUGUACAAAGUGGGAGAGAAAACACGAGCCUGAGCACAUAUGCAUACAUACACAAAAAGAUAGCAAUAACAGUGAUGAUGGUGAGGAGAUGUGUACGUUUGGAUAGUGAGGCGUUUAUUAUCUGUCACAGUAAAUAUAUUACAAGGAGGUAGAUGGUUUGCCCAGAUUUGAGUGGAGAGCAGACAAAAGUGCUGUGCUUGUCUGGUCCCAUGUCCACACUGGCCCAGGACAAAUGAAAACAGCAGGUCUCCCUUAAUAAACCCAGAAAGUCUUUCAUGGAAACACAGGUUCUUCAUCCAACAUCACAGGAGACCAACCUAACUGGUUUGUCCCCCUCUAACUCGUAAGUGUUCCUCCACACUCAGGAAACUUCCACGGCUCACUAUUGCCUAUAAAAGAGCUUUGGGGCACCUGGGUGGCUCAGUUGGUUAAGCGUCCGACUUCAGCUCAGAUCAUGAUCUCACCGUUCAUGAGUUCAAGCCCUGCAUCCGGCUCUGUGCUGACAGCUCAGAGCCUGGAGCCUGCUUCGGAUUCUGUGUCUUCCUCCCUUUCUCUCUGCUCCUCCCCCACUCACACUCUGUCUCUGUCUCUCUCUCUC